rnacentral:RNase_P_RNA from 1 species
CCCCGAGCCUCGCGCGAGCCGCGUGGGCUCGCAGAGCUGUACCCGAGACAGGGGGACACCCACGACCACCGCAACAGAGAGCAAACCGCCGAAGGCCCACGCAAGUGGGAUCAGGUAAGGGUGAAAGGGUGCGGUAAGAGCGCACCGCGCGGCUGGUAACAGUCCGUGGCACGGUAAACUCCACCCGGAGCAAGGCCAAAUAGGGGUUCAUAAGGUACGGCCCGUACUGAACCCGGGUAGGCUGCUUGAGCCAGUGAGCGAUUGCUGGCCUAGAUGAAUGACUGUCCACGACAGAACCCGGCUUAUCGGUCAGUUUCACUU